UUUGAGUCCUUUUGAAUGAUAGAAAAUGAUUCCGUAUUCUAGAAGACAAGACUUAAGAAAGCUUCACCUGGUAGGUUUCUUAUAGAAUUGGAUAAUCCUACGAGUUGACAAUAACAUAAUGAAUAUUGUAAGCUAUUAGGUGUUUUGAUGAUGACAAAUUAGAUCACUUCAAAUAUCAAACCUGUCAAGUGUUUCCAUCUGUUACACAAGCCUCUAAUCUUCCUUUCCUUCUCCUUGUGUCUCUGUUGCCUCAAUUAUAUCAAUAAAUUCAGCGCUUGUUUCUAAAGAAAAAGGAAAAAUGGAUGCACCAGCUUAUCAAGAGAUGUCAUAUACUGAUCAUGUUAAGAGGCGCCAUGAGGAGAAAGGCUGCCUCUAUGCUUGCUUGUUUGCUCUGUGUUGCUGUUUUUGCUGCUACGAGACUUGUGAAUGUUGCUUAGAUAUUCUCUGCUGCUGCUGCUAAAACACUAGUCUGGCUUCGGUUUGCUUUUAUCAUUUGCCAUUAAUAAUUACUGCUGUUAUUGUUAUCGUCUCCUCUCAGUGACAACUGAGCCCGUAGAAGAGAGUGACUCUGUAUCUGUUCGGUAAAUAAAAUCUCAAGUCAUAACUCUCUGAAACCCGUGUGUCAUGUCUUAACUAUGUUAUUCUGCUAGAUAAUUUUAUAAAUAAAAGUUUUCAACAAUCA